GAAAGAUGGUUUCGGCUAUCACUUACAGAUGGGCCGGCGGCGCAUUACCUAGUUGGUGGGGUAAAGGCCUACCAAGGCAACGAUGCGUACCCGACCUGAAAGGGUGAUCGGCCACACUGGGACUGAGACACGGCCCAGACUCCUACGGGAGGCAGCAGUAGGGAAUCUUCCGCAAUGGACGAAAGUCUGACGGAGCACCGCCGCGUGAGUGAUGAAGGUUUUCGGAUCGAAAAACUCUGUUGUUAGGGAAAAACAAGUACAAGAGUAACUGCUCGUACCUUGACGGUACCUAACCAAAAAGCCCCGGCUAACUACGUGCCAGCAGCCGCGGUAAUACUUAGGGGGCGAGCGUUGUCCGGAAUUAUUGGGCGUAAAGCGCGCGCAGGCGGUCCUUUAAGUCUGAUGUGAAAGCCCACGGCUUAACCGUGAAGGGUCAUUGGAAACUGGAGGACUUGAGUGCAAAAAAGGAGAG
rnacentral:rRNA from 1 species